UACAGAGGGGGCAAGCGUUAUUCGGAAUUAUUGGGCGUAAAGGGCGCGUAGGCGGCCUGGCAAGUGGAAGGUGAAAUCCCUCGGCUUAACCGGGGAACUGCCCUCCAAACUGCUUGGCUUGAGUCCGGGAGAGGUGAGUGGAAUUCCCAGUGUAGCGGUGAAAUGCGUAGAUAUUGGGAGGAACACCAGUGGCGAAGGCGGCUCACUGGACCGGAACUGACGCUGAGGCGCGAAAGCGUGGGGAGCAAACGGG
rnacentral:rRNA from 1 species